rnacentral:rRNA from 1 species
AAUCAACGCUGGCGGCGUGCCUCAGACAUGCAAGUCGAACGAUUAAACUUUCCUUCGGGAAAGAUAUAAAGUGGCGCACGGGUGAGUAACACGUAAGUAAUCUACCUUCGAGUGGGGAAUAACAUCGGGAAACCGAUGCUAAUACCGCAUAAUGCAGCGGCAUCGAAAGAUGACAGUUGUUAAAGGAGCAAUUCGCUUGAAGAGGAGCUUGCGGCAGAUUAGCUAGUUGGUAAGGUAAUGGCUUACCAAGGCUACGAUCUGUAUCCGGUCUAAGAGGACGGUCGGACACACUGACACUGAAUAACGGGUCAGACUCCUACGGGAGGCAGCAGUCGGGAAUUUUGGGCAAUGGGCGAAAGCCUGACCCAGCAACGCCGCGUGAAGGAUGAAGUAUUUCGGUAUGUAAACUUCGAAAGAAUGGGAAGAACUCAAUGACGGUACCAUUUAUAAGCUCCGGCUAACUACGUGCCAGCCGCCGCAGUAAGAC